GUCAGAUGUGGCAGGCAUCUGUAGUCCCAGCUACUCAGGAGACUGAGGCAGGAGGAUGGCUUGAGCCCAGGAGUUUGAGGCUGCAGUGAGCUUUCUCGUGCCACUGCACUCCAACCUGGGCAACAGAGCAAGACCCUGUCUCUU
rnacentral:SRP_RNA from 1 species